rnacentral:rRNA from 1 species
CCUACGGGAGGCAGCAGUAAGGAAUAUUGGUCAAUGGAGGCAACUCUGAACCAGCCAUGCCGCGUGCAGGAUGACGGCCCUAUGGGUUGUAAACUGCUUUUAUACAAGAGAAAACCCUGGUACGUGUACCAGGUUGAUAGUAUUGUAAGAAUAAGCAUCGGCUAACUUCGUGCCAGCAGCCGCGGUAAGACGAAGGAUGCAAGCGUUAUCCGGAUUCAUUGGGUUUAAAGGGUGCGUAGGCGGACUGAUAAGUCAGUGGUGAAAUCUCUUUGCUUAACAAAGAAACUGCCAUUGAUACUGUCGGUCUAGAGUAUAGAUGACGUUGGCGGAAUAUGACAUGUAGUGGUGAAAUACUUAGAUAUGUCAUAGAACACCGAUUGCGAAGGCAGCUAACGAAACUAUAACUGACGCUGAGGCACGAAAGUGCGGGGAUCAAACAGGAUUAGAUACCCUGGUAGUCCGCACCGUAAACGA